rnacentral:rRNA from 1 species
GUAAUGCCGGAUGCUCCAGUUGAUCGCAUGGUCUUCUGGGAAAGCUUUCGCGGUAUGGGAUGGGGUCGCGUCCUAUCAGCUUGACGGCGGGGUAACGGCCCACCGUGGCUUCGACGGGUAGCCGGCCUGAGAGGGCGACCGGCCACAUUGGGACUGAGAUACGGCCCAGACUCCUACGGGAGGCAGCAGUGGGGAAUAUUGCACAAUGGGCGCAAGCCUGAUGCAGCGACGCCGCGUGAGGGAUGGAGGCCUUCGGGUUGUAAACCUCUUUUAUCGGGGAGCAAGCGAGAGUGAGUUUACCCGUUGAAUAAGCACCGGCUAACUACGUGCCAGCAGCCGCGGUAAUACGUAGGGUGCAAGCGUUAUCCGGAAUUAUUGGGCGUAAAGGGCUCGUAGGCGGUUCGUCGCGUCCGGUGUGAAAGUCCAUCGCUUAACGGUGGAUCCGCGCCGGGUACGGGCGGGCUUGAGUGCGGUAGGGGAGACUGGAAUUCCCGGUGUAACGGUGGAAUGUGUAGAUAUCGGAAAAGAACAC